GAUGAACGCUGGCGGCGUGCUUAACACAUGCAAGUCGAACGGAGUUGAUUUAAGGAAGCAAGCUUGCUUGAAGAAUUGAAUUAACUUAGUGGCGGACGGGCGAGUAACACGUGAGCAACCUACCUCUUACAGGGGAAUAACAACGGGAAACCGUUGCUAAUACCGCAUGAUAUGUGCUGAAGGCAUCUUUGGCACAUCAAAAGAGCAAUCUGGUGGGAGAUGGGCUCGCGUCUGAUUAGCUAGUUGGUAAGGUAACGGCCUACCAAGGCGACGAUCAGUAGCCGGACUGAGAGGUCGAACGGCCGCAUUGGGACUGAGACACGGCCCAGACUCCUACGGGAGACAGCAGUGGGGAAUAUUGGGCAAUGGGCGAAAGCCUGACCCAGCAACGCCGCGUGAAUGAUGAAGGCCUUCGGGUUGUAAAAUUCUUUGGACAGGGACGAAGAAAGUGACGUACCU
rnacentral:rRNA from 1 species